rnacentral:misc_RNA from 1 species
GAAAUGCGAUAAGUAAUGUGAAUUGCAGAAUUCAGUGAAUCAUCGAAUCUUUGAACGCACCUUGCGCUCCUUGGUAUUCCGAGGAGCAUGCCUGUUUGAGUGUCAUUAAUAUAUAUAUCAACUUCUCUUGUUUGAGUUGUUUGGAUGUGGGUUUGCUGGCCUUGUUCAGCUCUCCUAAAAUGCAUUAGCGGAGCAAACCUGUUCAUUGGUGUGAUAACUAUCUACGCUAUUGAAUGUGAGGGGCAGUUCAGCUCUCUAACGGUCCUUGGACAAUUCUUCAUUAAUGUGACCUCAAAUCAGGUAGGACUACCCGCUGAACUUAA